UGGCCCUAUUACGUUGAAAUACCAGUUCCCGUAAGAUCACCGAAGUUAACCAAAGUCGAGCCUGAUCAGUACCUAUACGGGUGACCGCUUGCGAAUACCAGGUGCUGUAA